UAGAGGGAUGCAGAGAGAUUUUAAUACUUACAUGUCAUUUAAUUUUGAUAAAGCUUUCAAGUAAUAUUACCAAGCACAAUACUGUUUUGGAAGUUGUGUGUGUGUGUGUGUGUGUGUGUGUGUCUCUCGAUCUAUCUAA